rnacentral:rRNA from 1 species
UGAGUAACCUGCCCUUAACUCUGGGAUAAGCCUGGGAAACUGGGUCUAAUACCGGAUAUGACUCCUCAUCGCAUGGUGGGGGGUGGAAAGCUUUAUUGUGGUUUUGGAUGGACUCGCGGCCUAUCAGCUAGUUGGUGUGGGUAAUGGCCCACCAAGGCGACGACGGGUAGCCGGCCUGAGAGGGUGACCGGCCACACUGGGACUGAGACACGGCCCAGACUCCUACGGGAGGCAG